ensembl:misc_RNA 7SK 7SK RNA
UGAUUAGUGAGGACGAUCUGGUUGCAACAUCUGUCACGCCAUUGAUCGCCAGGGUUGAUUGGGCUGAUCUGGCUGCCUAGACCGGUGUCCCCUUUCUCCCUCACCACUCCAUGUGCGGCCCUCCCGAAGCUGCACACCCAGUCGAAGAGGACGACCUUCCUUGAAUAGAGGAGGACCAGUUUUUGGUCAAGGAUGCACGAGUAGCUGCGCUCCCCUGCUAGAUCCUCUAAACAAGCUCUCAAGGCCAUCAUUUUUCAAGAAGUAUUUAAUUGCACUUCUGAAUGAGUAUUAAAUAUAGCUCAUGAUAUAUAUU